GUGCUAUCUUUGGCAGCACAUAUACUAAAAUUGUAAUGAUACAGAGAUUAAGAUGGCCUUGUGCAAGGAUGACACACAAAUUCGUGGAGCAUUCUACAGUUUA
ensembl:snRNA U6 U6 spliceosomal RNA